AAGACCAUAGAAUUCACUCUGCUGGGGAUCCUUUGGUGCAAUGUUAAGCCCCAGAGGGGAGCUGUGCCCAAGGAAGCAGUAAAAGGUACAGUGCUUGCUGGUGUUCUCCUCUUGUGAUGUGCAACCCAGUUUCUCUUUUUGGAAAUCCUGAUCUGUUAUCAUAUCAAAAAGAGCGAAUGCAGUGACCAGCUAAAGCCCCCGUCUUUGCAGUUUGAGGUCAGUGAUGCUGUUUACACAAUGCCUCUGAACUGUGAGGCACGUACAGAAGACUCGCCUACACCUAAACACCUACACAGACUCUUUGGCUUGCAGGACAGCCUUUCAAACCGCGCUGGCAGAGGCUCGUCUCCCCCUCACUGAGUCCAUCACAGUUCCGUAGGCCUUUCUCUGCCCAGCUGCUGUAGGCAUGCUGGGUCCUGAAUUCGGCGAGUGGAGAGAGUUGGACAGAGUCGGCUACACACCAGCGGGGGACAAAGGAAGCAGACAAAAAGGCCAAACUCCCCUGGCGGAUCUGAGGAAUGGGAUCCCUUGCAAUGUCAUCAUCAUUUAUGGAUCAUUCAAAUGGAUAAUGUAAACAAUGUAAACAUUAUGUCGUUCCAUUGUCUUGGAUGUUUUAGUAACUGCAUGCAGCAUCAGAGAGGAUGAAGUCAUUUGCUGUAUGGGCGACGGCCCUUUUCUGUCACAUGACUGCACCUGUCCCCUCACCAACAAUAUCAACACCAUGGGCACCAUCAGAUUAAACAGAUCAAUGCCUCAUCACAACUGAGCCGUCAGAAUCUUUUCAUUUUCUCCUGCUUUGUUGUUGUCAGGUCACAUGACUGACGAAAGGUCAGUUUGUCUGCACGAAAUCUGUACCCACACUAUUCUGCAUAAAGCAAAGCACUACUGGUUACUGCCAAAUCCAUACACCUUUUUUCCCACAGUUUUUCUAGUUUUAUGAAGUUGUUAUCUUCAACCAAGAGUGUAGUUAAGUGCAUUUAACCUGUUUUAUCAUUUUCUGCUGAUUUUUCCCCCAUGAUUCUGUAAUCUAACAUUGAAAUGAGCAAUCUCACUGUUUUGCAUGAUUUUCUCUCCCCACAUGCAGAAUGUAAUGGAAAACAAUUUGUGGAAAAUGGAAAUUUGUGUCAGAGAUG